GACAGUGAUGGCCGUAUUUACUGGUACUUCGGCUUCCCUCCAUCGUUGUCAAAACCCAGUAUAUGAUUUGGGAUGAACUCACUUCGCAUUUGGAGUUCUCUUGUUUGGGCCAUGCGUGUGAUGCCUUUGAGGAGAAAUGGAGGAUGUACAUGAUGAUGCUGAGAAAUAUCCUGGCUGGCUAGUUACAGUACUUGAGCCUUGGGAUUAUUCAUUAGGAAUUAGCCAUUAUGUUCUUUCAUAUGUCUGUAUUAGGCUUAUUUAACCAAGGCGUGCUGUAAGCAAGCUGAAUUUUCCGGAAUCUGCCUCUAAUAUGUAAGAGCUGUAUCGUUAUUUUGUGUUGGAAGCAAAUAAGCAAUGCCGUGUCU